rnacentral:rRNA from 1 species
CCGAAUACAUUAGCAUGGGAUAAUGGAAUAGGACCCUGUCCUCNUAUUUUCAGUUGGUUUUGGCAGCGCGAGGACUAGGGUAAUGAUUAAUAGGGAUAGUUGGGGGCAUUAAUAUUUAAUUGUCAGAGGUGAAAUUCUUGGAUUUAUGAAAGAUUAACUUCUGCGAAAGCAUCUGCCAAGGAUGUUUUCAUUAAUCAAGAACGAAAGUUAGGGGAUCGAAGACGAUCAGAUACCGUCGUAGUCUUAACCAUAAACGAUGCCGACCAGCGAUUAGGAGACGUUGAAUACAAAACACCACCAUCGGUUGCGGUCAUCCUUGGCGUCUCGGU